rnacentral:rRNA from 1 species
UACGAAGGAUGCGAGCGUUAUCCGGAUUUAUUGGGUUUAAAGGGAGCGUAGGCGGUCUUAUAAGUCAGUGGUGAAAUCUCGUUGCUUAACAACGAACGUGCCAUUGAUACUGUAGGACUUGAGUACAGUUGCCGUUGGCGGAAUGUGUCAUGUAGCGGUGAAAUGCAUAGAUAUGACACAGAACACCGAUUGCGAAGGCAGCUGACGAAACUGUAACUGACGCUGAGGCUCGAAAGCGUGGGGAGCGAACAGG